rnacentral:rRNA from 1 species
UGGGGAAUUUUGGACAAUGGGCGAAAGCCUGAUCCAGCAAUGCCGCGUGUGUGAAGAAGGCCUUCGGGUUGUAAAGCACUUUUGUCCGGAAAGAAAUCCUUGGCUCUAAUACAGUCGGGGGAUGACGGUACCGGAAGAAUAAGCACCGGCUAACUACGUGCCAGCAGCCGCGGUAAUACGUAGGGUGCAAGCGUUAAUCGGAAUUACUGGGCGUAAGCGUGCGCAGGCGGUUUGCUAAGACCGAUGUGAAAUCCCCGGGCUCAACCUGGGAACUGCAUUGGUGACUGGCAGGCUAGAGUAUGGCAGAGGGGGGUAGAAUUCCACGUGUAGCAGUGAAAUGCGUAGAGAUGUGGAGGAAUACCGAUGGCGAAGGCAGCCCCCUGGGCCAAUACUGACGCUCAUGCACGAAAAGCGUGGGGAGCAAACAGGAUUAGAUACCCUGGUAGUCCACGCCCUAAACGAUGUCAACUAGUUGUUGGGGAUUCAUUUCCUUAGUAACGUAGCUAACGCGUGAAGUUGACCGCCUGGGGAGUACGGUCGCAAGAUUAAAACUCAAAGGAAUUGACGGGGUCAUAGCUGUUUCCU